UCCGAGUUAUCCCCGGCAGUCUCAUUAGAGUGCCCAACUUAAUGAUGGCAACUAACAAUAAGGGUUGCGCUCGUUGCGGGACUUAACCCAACAUCUCACGACACGAGCUGACGACAACCAUGCACCACCUGUCUUCCUGCCCCGAAGGGCUUCAUGAUAUUACUCACUAUUCAGGAGAUGUCAAGUUCUGGUAAGGUUCUUCGCGUUGCUUCGAAUUAAACCACAUGCUCCGCUGCUUGUGCGGGCCCCCGUCAAUUCCUUUGAGUUUCAACCUUGCGGCCGUACUCCCCAGGCGGGAUACUUAUUGCGUUAACUGCGGCACGGAAGGGGUCGAUACCUCCCACACCUAGUAUCCAUCGUUUACAGCGUGGACUAC
rnacentral:misc_RNA from 1 species